AGAUGGUCGACUCCAUAGGGAACAUCAGGAGGUGUAGAGGGCAGAGAGAUGGUCGACUCCAUAGGGAACAUCAGGAGGUGUAGAGAGAUGGUCGACUCCAUAGGGAACAUCAGGAGGUGCAGAGAGAUGGUCGACUCCAUAGGGAACAUCAGGAGGUGCAGAGAGAUGGUCGACUCCAUAGGGAACAUCAGGAGGUGCAGAGAGAUGGUCGACUCCAUAGGGAACAUCAGGAGGUGUAGAGGGCAGAGAGAUGGUCGACUCCAUAGGGAUCAUCAGGAGGUGUAGAGGGCAGAGAGAUGGUCGACUCCAUAGGGAACAUCAGGAGGUGUAGAGAGAUGGUCGACUCCAUAGGGAACAUCAGGAGGUGCAGAGAGAUGGUCGACUCCAUAGGGAACAUCAGGAGGUGCAGAGAGAUGGUCGACUCCAUAGGGAACAUCAGGAGGUGCAGAGAGAUGGUCGACUCCAUAGGGAACAUCAGGAGGUGUAGAGGGCAGAGAGAUGGUCGACUCCAUAGGGAUCAUCAGGAGGUGUAGAGAGAUGGUCGACUCCAUAGGGAACAUCAGGAGGUGCAGAGAGAUGGUCGACUCCAUAGGGAACAUCAGGAGGUGCAGAGAGAUGGUCGACUCCAUAGGGAACAUCAGGAGGUGUAGAGGGCAGAGAGAUGGUCGACUCCAUAGGGAUCAUCAGGAGGUGUAGAGAGAUGGUCGACUCCAUAGGGAACAUCAGGAGGUGUAGAGAGAUGGUCGACUCCAUAGGGAUCAUCAGGAGGUGCAGAGAGAUGGUCGACUCCAUAGGGAACAUCAGGAGGUGCAGAGAGAUGGUCGACUCCAUAGGGAACAUCAGGAGGUGUAGAGGGCAGAGAGAUGGUCGACUCCAUAGGGAUCAUCAGGAGGUGUAGAGAGAUGGUCGACUCCAUAGGGAACAUCAGGAGGUGUAGAGGGCAGAGAGAUGGUCGACUCCAUAGGAAACAUCAGA